UGUACAAGUGACGAUUAGCAGAUGAGUCAUGGACAACAAAUAAUAAAGGUCUGGAACCCUGAGGCCCA
rnacentral:snoRNA from 1 species